CUUAGUAGGUCCUCAUGGUGGCGCGGUUACUCACCUCAAUCCAGGUGGUGGAGGACAAGUCUCAGUUGCCUUCGCUCUGCAGAGGCUCACAGCACGUGGAGACUCAUGCUACUCUCCGCGAUCCACGCACAACUUACCACGCGCCCCAUUGAGAGCGAGAACCACUAAUUGUGACCACCAGGAGGUUAUCUCAUGUGACCUACCCUCCCUAGCAACGGGGCCAAUUUGGUUGCUUAGAAGACCUGGCUGGAGUCACUCAGCACGCCCUGGAUUCAAUCUCGCGACUCCAGGGGUGGUAGUCAUGUUCAAAAGAUUGUUUUUUUUUUAUCUAUCUCUGAUGUAGUUUGUAUUCAGGGUGUAACGGAGGUUUUUGUACGACGGUUUCAGUAAAAUGUAACACUGUGGUACACGUUCGGUGGAGGAACCAAACUGGUGCUCAGAACUGGUCCCACAGUGAAGCCCUCUAUGACUCUACUGCCUCCGUCCUCUCUGCAGAUCUCUGGAGACUCAGCCGCACUGCUCUGCCUGAUCAGCUCUUACUCUCCACAGGGGGCGCUGCUGAGCUGGACGCUGGACGGGUCAGAGGUCACAGAGGGGGUUCUGACCAGUGCAGAGAGUGAGCAGGACGGCCGCUACAGCCGCAAUAGUGUCCUGACCCUCAGCAAAGCACACUGGGAAGAGGCAGAGGUGUUCGUCUGCAGAGUAACUCAUGAUGGAGAUCUUCAUCAGGUCUCGUUCCGCAAGAGUCGCUGUUAAGAGCGCUGAAUGUUGAUGCUUCUCCUGAAGAUGAGCCGUAUCUGAGUGUCUCGCAGCUUCAGUGAUUUACUACUGAAUCUUUCAAUGUGUUGUGUUUGUUACAUUCAAUAAAGCUU